rnacentral:rRNA from 1 species
UACAGAGGGGGCAAGCGUUGUUCGGAAUUACUGGGCGUAAAGGGCGCGUAGGCGGCCUGCUAAGUCGAACGUGAAAUCCCUGGGCUCAACCCAGGAACUGCGUCCGAUACUGGUUGGCUUGAAUCCGGGAGAGGGAUGUGGAAUUCCAGGUGUAGCGGUGAAAUGCGUAGAUAUCUGGAUGAACACCGGUGGCGAAGGCGACAUCCUGGACCGGUAUUGACGCUGAGGCGCGAAAGCCAGGGGAGCAAACGGG